AGAGUUUGAUCCUGGCUCAGGACGAACGCUGGCGGCGUGCCUAACACAUGCAAGUCGAACGGAGAAUUAAGACGGAGGAUUCGUGUGAAGACUUUUGAAACUUAGUGGCGAACGGGUGAGUAACGCGUGAGCAACCUGCCUUUCAGUGGGGGACAACAGUUGGAAACGACUGCUAAUACCGCAUAACAUACUGAGAUGGCAUCAUUCUGAAUACCAAAGCUUUAUGUGCUGAAAGAUGACCUCGCGUCUGAUUAGCUAGUUGGUGGGGUAACGGCCCACCAAGGCGACGAUCAGUAGCCGGACUGAGAGGAUGAACGGCCACAUUGGGACUGAGAUACGGCCCAGACUCCUACGGGAGGCAGCAGUGAGGAAUAUUGGUCAAUCUGCGAAAGCGGGAACCAGCAACGCCGCGUGAAGGAAGAAGGCCCUCGGGUUGUAAACUUCUUUAGGGGAAGACGAGAAAGGACGGUAUUCCCAAAAUAAGCAACGGCAAACUACGUGCCAGCAGCCGCGGUAAUACGUAGGUUGCAAGCGUUGUCCGGAUUUACUGGGUGUAAAGGGCGUGUAGGCGGAACUGCAAGUCGGAAGUGAAAUCCCGGGGCUCAACCCCGGAACUGCAUUCAAAACUGUAGCCCUUGAGUAUCGGAGAGGCAAGCGGAAUUCCUAGUGUAGCGGUGAAAUGCGUAGAUAUUAGGAGGAACACCAGUGGCGAAGGCGGCUUGCUGGACGACAACUGACGCUGAGGCGCGAAAGCGUGGGGAGCAAACAGGAUUAGAUACCCUGGUAGUCCACGCCGUAAACGAUGAAAACUAGGUGUGGGAAGACUGACCCCUCCCGUGCCGCAGUUAACACAAUAAGUAUUCCACCUGGGGGAGUACGGACCGCAAGGUUGAAACUCAAAGGAAUUGACGGGGGCCCGCACAAGCAGUGGAUUAUGUGGUUUAAUUCGAAGCAACGCGAAGAACCUUACCAGGACUUGACAUCCAACUAACCGAACUAAAAAGACAUUAGGUGCCCUUCGGGGAAAGUGAAGACAGGUGGUGCAUGGUUGUCGUCAGCUCGUGUCGUGAGAUGUUGGGUUAAGUCCCGCAACGAGCGCAACCCCUAUUGUUAGUGGGCUACGCAAGAGCACUCUAGCGAGACUGCCCGUGGACAAAACGGAGGAAGGUCGGGGACGACGUCAAAUCAUCAUGCCCCUUAUGUCCUGGGCUACACACGUAAUACAAUGGCCGUAAACAAAGGGGAGCGAAAGCCGCGAGGUGGAGCAAAUCCCAAAAAAGUCGUCUCAGUUCGGAUUGCAGGCUGCAACUCGCCUGCAUGAAGCUGGAAUUGCUAGUAAUCGCGGAUCAGCAUGCCACGGUGAAUACGUUCCCGGGCCUUGCACACACCGCCCGUC
rnacentral:rRNA from 1 species